ensembl:lncRNA
CCCCCUCCACAGUCACCACACCCUCCCUCCCUUCUUCCCCCUCUUCCCCCCUCCCCCCCCCCCUUCUAUCUUUCUGAGGAUUGAACACACACUCAUCGAUUAUUUUAACUGCCCUGCUGCAGGAUAUGAGCUCCCACCCUCUGUUGGACACAGAAAGAGGAAUGUUAAUGCUGGUCAGGCUACAAUGAUGUGAAGGAGAUGCCAGCUCAGAUGAUCCAGACGCCUUGGCUCCAACAAAACCUUUCCAGGUAUUCAAGCCUCUUGAUAUGACUGAAAUAAACAAAAUCCUUAUACAAAUAUGGACUAAAAUCUGCUUAACUGGGAUAUUAAACUAUUAUAAUCUGUUAUGAUGCCUGGACUUCAAAACCAACACAGAACGAAUAAGCAGGUUCGUCAAUGGAAUAUGAAAAGGUUGAGUGCACAGUUUAUUUCUGCACUUUGCUCAGCUGUUUUGGAUCCAUUCUCUAUACACGUCUUAUGGAGAAGAUGCCAAAUGAAUGCAUCUACAAAGAUUUAUUGCCUUCUAGGACACCCAAGCUUUAGGAAAUCCAACUGGAACUGAAUCUUCUCGCUUUCUGAAAAACAAGGUGGCACACAACAGGAAAUUCUUGUGGCUAAUAACUGCUGUUUUACCCUUAACUAAUCACAGAAGAAAAAAAAAAAAAAAAAGACAGUAUUAAUAUCUUUAGGUUCUCAACCAUCCUGAUAGCCUUCAACUACUCAGAUAUCUUUCAACCACCUGGAUAUCAUUUCAACCACCUGGAUAUCUGCUGGGAUAGUGGCACAGCAUGUGGCAGACAAUCCAGGAGAUUCCUGGAGUCUGUUGAGGACAACUUCCUGGUCCAGGUAUCAGAUGGACCAACCCAAGGAGAAGCCUUACUGAACCUGGUGCUCACUAAUACAGAAGAGAGUAUUAGAGAGGUUAAGAUUGGAGGCGGCCUGGGCUGUAGUGAUCCUGCCCUGAUGUGUUUGUGAUCUGGAGAAAUGCAGGCCUGACAAACAGCAGAGUCAAGUCCCUGAACUCCAGGAGAGCAAAAUUCCAGCUGCUCAAGGAUCUGCUGGAUGGGAUCCCCUGGGAAAGUGUCCUUGAGGGCAUAGGAACAGAACAGAGCAGGCAGCUCUUUAAGAACAUUCUUCUGUGAGCACAAAAAUUAUCCAUCCCCCAGCAGAAGAAAUCAAGCAGAGAAGGUAGGUGAUUGGCAUGGCUGAACAAGGACCUGCAGCUUAAAAUGAGGGACAAGAGGGAAACGUACAGGAAGCAAAAGCAGGGUUGUGUAAUCUGGGAAGAAUAUAAGGACAUUGUCUGCGGGGAUACGAUCAGGAAAACCAAGGCACAGGUGGAGCUAAACUUGGCAAGGGAUGUGAAAAAUAACAAGAAGGCGUUCUAAAGGUACAUAGGCAGGAGGAGACAGACCAAGGAAAGUGUUCCCCCUCUGAUAAAGGAGGACAGAGAGCUAACUUGCUCAGAUGUGGAAAAAGCUGAGGUGCUCAAUGAGUGCUCUGCCUCAGUCUUCACUGGUGGUCAGGCUCCUCCCCAUGUCUGCCAGGACCCUGAAGCUCUAGGUGUGGGUGAGAGAAGCAGAUUCCAUCCCACUGUAACAGUGGAACAAGUCCAAGACCUCCUUGGGAUACUGAAUGCAUAUAAGCUGGCAUUCAUGGGGCCAGAUGAGAUCCAUCCUUGGGUUCUGAAAGAGGUGACUGAUGUGGUUGACGAGCCGCCCUCCAUCGUAUUUGAAAAAUCAUGGCCGUUGGGUGAAAUCCCAGGUGCCCGGAAAAAGGGAAAUGUUACUCCCAUUUUCCUGAAAGGGAGAAAAAUUGACCCAGGGAACUACCAGCUGGUGAGCCUCACCUCUAUGCCUGGGAAGAUCAUGGAGCAGAUCCUCCUGGUUACAAUGUUAAGGCAUAUACCAGAGGAAGAGGUGAUCUGCAACAGCCAUCAUGGCUUCACCUAGGGCAGAUCUUGCCUGACCAAUCUGGUGGCCUUCUAUGAUGGAGUGAUGGCUUCAGCAGAUGGGGCAAAGGCGAUGGAUCUCAUCUUCACAGACCUCUGCAAAGUCCCUAACUGCAUCCUUCUCUCUAAAUUGGAGAGUUAUGGAAUUGAAAGAUGGGCGGUUCUACGGACUGAGAAGUGGUUGGCUGGUCACAGCCACAGGUUUGUGAUCAAUGGUUCUAUGUCUGAAUGGAGGCCAGUCACAAACAGUGUACUUCAAGGGUCAGCCUUGGGACAAGUGUUCUUUACUAUCUUCAUCAGUGACAUAGAUAAUGGUAUACUGAGGUCCCAUUUAGAAUGCUGUUUCUAGUUCUGGGCUCCCCAGAUCAAGAAUGACAAGGAUCUCAUAGAAGGUCUCCAAUGGAGGGUCACAAAGUUGUUAAAGGGCCUGGAGCACCUCCCAGAUCUGAUGUGAUGGUGGCAUUCCUAUCUCUGUGACUGCGUCUUUAGGUGAGCCGUCUUUCUCCCAGUUUCUUUUGAUCUCUUUGGGAAUUUGUAGACUAAUCAAACAGAGGAGUAGAAUUCUGACUGAGUGUAAUACUCAAAAGUGAGCUGUGAAAAUCUGAAGAGUGCAAAAAAAGCAUUGCAUUCUGCCUGGUCAAUUCACUUAGUGAGAGACAGAUGGCCAGUCACCACAUUCACAGUACUACUUGUGUUGCCUCUUGCCUGGAAGGAGAAAAGAGAAAUAGGAACUUGGAAUAUUUUACAGUAUUUUGUGGAAAAGUAGAUGGUCUUUGGAAGGUAGGAAACAUGGAGGAGGGAGGCACUGCAGGAAAGAUGAAAGUGCAGCCCAGCCUUAGUAAGGUGAAGUCUUUAGAAAGCAGUCACAUUUUACUAACUUGUGAGAACAUUGUCCUAGAAUAAGUAUCCAGACAGAGUCUCAGGAAAACAAAACAAAACAAAACAAAACAAAAACUGAAGAUAAAUUCAUCUCCUUUCAGAAAUACAGAAUUCAUCAUUCUAUUAGAACUAUAGAAGUCCUAAACACAGGAGGAGGGACGUGACAGCUUUUGUGACAUGUUGCAUUUAAUGAUUUUACACCUCAAAUUGGAUUUAUCUCCAUGUGGAUUUUUGACUACUGAAGAUAUAUCCAGAGUGAUUGAAAUCUGCUCAUUGAAGUCUCUACCUUCUUCAAUUUUUUGAAGGUCUGUGAAAGUGGGCUCACAUUCUGACCUUAAAGUAGUUGUUUAAAUCUAAUUAAACACCAAUACACUACAAACAACCUUCUUAGAUUAUAUAAUUAUUUCUUUCCAGUCUCCAAAUUUCUUCACUUUUGUCCCAUCAAUGUUUCAAUAACUUAGAUAGAGUAAAAAAUAUGUAAAUAAAUAAAUAAAAAUAAAGUCCUUAUUAUUCCAUGAACAUUAUCCCAGUGGUAUAUAGGUUUUCUGAAACAAAUAAGGAAGCCAUGGGACAUAAUUCUAUCAUUAAAUAAUUCUCAAAGAAGGAUUUAAUUAAGUUUUGUCAUGCAGUUCUGCCACUCAAGUCUUCGCCCUCUCAAAUAUAGUUUGUAUUAGAACAUACACCUGUGAAAAAGAAAAUGUUUGCAUUUUUACAAUUUUAGCAAGGGGAGAUAAAUAAAGUAUCUAUUUACCUAACUUUCUUAAUAUCGGGUAUAUUUCUGAUAUAUCGGCCAGAAUGUUUGAACAACAUGCUAGUGUAGUCCACCUACCUCUACAGUUUAUGCACAAAGUAGUGUAUAUGUACAGAGUUUUUCAGUUCACAGAGUUAUGGGAUUGUAACUUCCUGAGCAGCUACACACAAAGUCUGAAAAUGAAUAUAGUCAGCUGAAUUUUAUAGCUGGUAACUAAGUUGUUCUAACCAAUAUUACCAAAAUAUUAGAAAGUUUAGGAGGAAAUUCUAAAAAUGCUUCAUAUGGCAGAAGUAUUGCAAAGCAUUAAACUACCCCAUUGUGUUCUUCACUAGAAAGAACAUUCCAGUAUUUAACAUAUUUUACUUUUAAGACAGCUGAUUGUACUUCAAGACAGCAUCUUUAAUAACAUUCUGAAAGGUUCUUGAAAGUGCACUGGAAUUUUAGCAAUAUUUCAUCAAUUUUUCCAUAUUCCCCCUCUUGAAGUGUCGUAAAAAAAUGAAAGUAUCCUACUAUAGCACAAAAAAAAAUACACGUCUAUUUGAAGAUUUCCUGUGUUAUUAAAUAUGGCAUGAUGCACACUGUAUUUUUGGACUUUUUAUCAUUCAAAAUGGUGCAUAAUACUAACUCUUACAAGAUUAUAUGCACAACAGUUAAACUAUAAACUAAAAGUGCAAAUAAUUAAUCUUGCUUAAACAUAAAUGUCAUUUGCAACAUCUCAAAAUAUCUGAGAUAUUCAGUUGGGCUUAUAAAUGUGACAUUGGACCUGGGAGAGACCCAGACCGCUUUGGAAUGCAACUAGAGGCAUACCUAUAAAACACUAGAGUGUCUAAACUGAUAAAUGACAUUAGACAGUUAUGUUUAAGUACCCAUAUCACGUUAAACAAUAAAGUUAAAUUAUCUCAUUUCCUGAGAAACAAUAGCUCCUUUCAGAAAUGUAGUUAACCAGGGAAACAACUGCUGAUUUGCAUUAGUCAUCACAGGAUCUGAACUCAUUUCUCAGAAGUUUUUCCUUCAGAUAACAAAACAUGUGAAAGAGAGCUUAAAGGACCAAAAGUGUAAAUUAAGAAAGAGAGCUUUACAUGUUAACAUUCUUACUGAAUUUUCUUUCUGAUGUCCCAGAAUGAAAGUUACCUCUGUAGUGCACUAUGCUGAAAUAUCUAUAUAAUCAGAACUGUUUUGCAUAAAAAGAUGGCUCUUUCAGUCUAAGUGUCCCUUAAAAACCUUUGCCUAUUUCUCUAUUCCUCUGAUCUGUGUAUUAUCUGUGCAUCUGUAUCCCAGAGUUACAGAACUGUGGGUAGAAUUCAUUCUUCAUUGCAGAUUCCAAAUGAGAAUUUGCCUCGGAUAGUUACCUUGAUCUCAAAUCUGCCCUAGCCAAAGAUAUUUCAGUGAUUUGAACUUUUCUCUAAUUGAGCAGAAAUCACAGAGAGCAAGUCAUGGGAUUCUGGGAAAAAAAAAAAAAAAAAAAAAAGUAGUACCAAAUGUCCAGAUUGAGUAGAUGAAGGAUGUCUGAACAGUAGCAUCAGACUCCAGAAAAUCUUUAAUUUGUAAACCUGAUAUUAGGGGUUGUACUGCACUGACCUUUUUGACUGUACUGGAAAGAAUGAAUCACCAGAGAUGGCUCAUCAACAUAUCCCUGUUUGAAAGUCUGCCAAAUAUUUGGGCAAAAUGGUAGUAUGAGUAACAGCAAUCAUGAUUAGUGAAGAGUGUCGUCAAAUUGUCAGGACUACCAAGAGGUGAAGGAAGGUAGAAUCAAAGGAACAUAAUAUGUUGAGAUUUUUCACUUGACAUACUACAGACCAUAUUCUAUUAAAAGUGAGGAUCAACUUGGGGACAUAUAUCUGGAAAAGAUCAUAUCUAUCAUAGACUGAUUAGCUAUGGCAAGAUUUGCUUGCAUUGAAACUUGACUUUUCAAGUGGCUGUUGCAGAAAUUUGGAUACAGUACAUUAAUUGUGUUUGUUAUUAUCCAAAUGGAUAGAAAUCAUUCUCUGUAUUUUGCAAGUUGACUAGGAGAUGCCAUCUCUUUGCACAAAGUGCCAGAACCAUAAUGUAAUAUGUACAAAUAAAUAUAGCCUCGUUACUGUUAGUCAUCUGAAAUUAAAAUGUUCCUUCUAUUUACCAGGAAUCUUCUUAUUUGUUCUGUGUAUCCGUAGAUAUUUAUGAAAUCAAUAUGUAAUUUAGUUUCAGUAUAUUUAAUCAUAAUCAGCCUUAGCGUAGUGUUUAGCUGAACAUAUAAAAUGUACUAUAAUGACUUUAAAAUGUUUAAUUUAAGAAUCUCUGCCUCUGUGCAUAUGAAUCAGAGACCUGUGUUUAAUUAUUGAUAGUAAUUAGAGCACAGAAGCAGACAAACAGCAUCUGGUGGCAGGAAUAAUUUCAGAGCCUAGCCCUUUGGAGCCAAAGCAUUGCUUCAGUGAUUGAUUCCUUUCAAUGUAUGAAUUUGGUUUUGGUUUCUAAACAACUCUUUGAAAGCUCUCUGCCAUCUUAUAACUCCUGUUAGGUCUAUGCAUGUAUGUGUGGAACAUAUGCUGGUCAGCUGUUUUUUUAAUGUAAUCAGAUCAGAAAAAUAUUCCUAAGGACUUAUUUGUUUUUAUGUUUAUUCUAGCCUGUGAACACUAAAAUUUUAAUUAUACAUUGGUAUUCAAGUCUGAAGGUCAAAGAAUUAAAACAGAAAUCAUUUCUGGUAAAUACCAAAUAAACACUUAAAUGAAAAUACAAAACUUUAUAAAUUCUACAAAAUAAUAGUUACAGAUAUUAAGAAAAAAAGAUUUUAUUCUGCACCUACUGAAGCAAAAGUGAACCUCUCAAAUGAAGUAUUUACAUCAUAGGCAAAUAUACUAUGAUUCACAGAGUUACACUGCCAUUUAUCAAUGAAUAACCUGGUGAAAAAUGGAAAAAUGCCACUUUUUUUUUUUUUUUUUUUUUUGUUAAUCUAUAUUGGAUAGAAAAUAAUUCAUGUGAGUGCUGGCUAUCAACUUUUUGUGAGAGUUUGUUGAUCUUUAAAAUAUUCCUAGGGAGGAACAUCCUCCCAGACAAUGAAUAACUUCUUGAAAAGAGCUGUCUGUUCCUGUUCUGUGCAGUCAGAUCUUAGAAGUACUUCAGUACUUAGAAGUUUAGUAGACUUCAACGAUUCUUGGAACACGGGUCAAAAAACAAAAACAAAAACAAACAAACAAAAAAAACCAUGAGAACCAUGAAAAUAAAUGAUGUGGGUUUUAUUUUGUUUUGUUUUGUUUUGUUUCUCCUACAAACAUGAAGAAGUACUUUAUAAAAAUAUGCUGUGAUGCUCAAGGAAAAUCAAGACUCCUGCCACAGUCUUCAGAGACUAAGUCUAAGAAAUACUCUCAAGAAUGUUCAUUAGACAAGAAUCUACAUGAGAGUCCAGGCAAGUGAUUGACAUGAGUGUUAAAUCUGGUGAAAACUCAGGAAUAAAUUUUGGACAUGCGAUAUUCAGUCUCUCUCUUACACACUGAGACACUGCCACCUGUGUCCAUAUUGCUAAUUAUCUUCCAUAAUCUCCCUUAAAGCUGACUGAGAGGUCAGGCUCUGAGAAGCUGUAAUUCUCUAUUGCUUUGCCUUGUAACAGAUGGGUAGAAAGGAAAGACAGACAUAGCAAAUACUUGUUAUUACCUUGAAUAGGAUUAUAACAUACUUUAUUGAAAACAUUCUUUUAAUUGGUAAUAAUUCUGAGUCAGAUGAUAAUUUUUUUCACUAUGGCCAGUUUAAAAUUCUGUAAACAAUUAGCACCAGAUCUGCCAACUAUAUAAGUAGUACAUUUCUAUAAAAAAAAAAAUACCCAGCCAUCCAGUUUCCAUCAUCCAAUGUUGGAAUUUUACAGUAAUAUAUGAUGCAGUAUUGCAAACUAGGUGUAUUAAAGUUAUGUUUGUCUGCUUCCUACUGUUCUCACUCAGCCAUUUUAUUCACCAAAAGCUUUU